CAGUAGCCGCGGUAAUACGAAGGGUGCAAGCGUUAAUCGGAAUUACUGGGCGUAAAGCGUGCGUAGGCGGUUUGUUAAGUCUGUUGUGAAAUCCCCGGGCUCAACCUGGGAAUGGCAAUGGAUACUGGCAAGCUAGGGUGUGUCAGAGGAUGGUGGAAUUCCCGGUGUAGCGGUGAAAUGCGUAGAGAUCGGGAGGAACAUCAGUGGCGAAGGCGGCCAUCUGGGACAACACUGACGCUGAGGCACGAAAGCGAGGGGAGCAAACAGGAUUAGAUACCCGCGUAGUCCCUGUCUCUUAUAC
rnacentral:rRNA from 1 species